GUCCACGCCCUAAACGAUGACGACUAGUUGUUGGAGGAGUUAAAUCCUUUAGUAACGCAGCUAACGCGCGAAGUCGUCCGCCUGGGGAGUACGGUCACAAGAUUAAAACUCAAAGGAAUUGACGGGGGCCCGCACAAGCGUGGAUGAUGUGGUUUAAUUCGAUGCAACGCGAAAAACCUUCCUACCCUUGACAUGCUAGGAACUCUGCAGAGAUGCAGAGGUGCCCGAAAGGGACCUAGACACAGGUGCUGCAUGGCUGUCGU
rnacentral:rRNA from 1 species